AAGCCUCGGCUAAGGUGAUUUCUGGCCGGAUUGACGGCGGCAGAAGUUGCGCCAGGUGCGUCAGCAAGUCCAGUAACUGCCAAUCCGCCUGAAUCGGUAGAUUGUCGUUGCUCCAGAUCCACUUCAGCGGCAACGUGACUCGGCCUUUUCCCCGGCUCACGGACCAGCUAAGCUUCACUUUCACUACUAAUGACACUUGAAAGAAGUUAUUUGACCAAAUCGGCAGGACUACUGCUUGUGGCAGCGAUGGACUCAGCAUAGUAGGAUGCUCAUCCAGGGUCCGACUAAACAUUCCUCCUGCUUGUUGGCUAAGGCCACCUGUUCAAUAUAUGGAAAAUUGUAAUAUUGCUAAUACUC